rnacentral:rRNA from 1 species
CCUACGGGCGGCAGCAGUGAGGAAUAUUGGUCAAUGGACGAGAGUCUGAACCAGCCAAGUAGCGUGAAGGAUGACUGCCCUAUGGGUUGUAAACUUCUUUUAUAUGGGAAUAAAAUGGUCCACGUGUGGGAUUUUGUAUGUACCAUAUGAAUAAGGAUCGGCUAACUCCGUGCCAGCAGCCGCGGUAAUACGGAGGAUCCGAGCGUUAUCCGGAUUUAUUGGGUUUAAAGGGAGCGUAGGUGGAUUGUUAAGUCAGUUGUGAAAGUUUGCGGCUCAACCGUAAAAUUGCAGUUGAUACUGGCAGUCUUGAGUACAGUUGAGGUAGGCGGAAUUCGUGGUGUAGCGGUGAAAUGCUUAGAGAUCACGAAGAACUCCGAUUGCGAAGGCAGUUCACUAGACUGCAACUGACACUGAGGCUCGAAAGUGUGGGUAUCAAACAGGAUUAGAUACCCGUGUAGUC